rnacentral:rRNA from 1 species
GCAGUCGAACGGUGACGGAGGAGCUUGCUCCUCCUGAUCAGUGGCGAACGGGUGAGUAACACGUGGGCAACCUGCCCCUAGCUCUGGGAUAAGCCCGGGAAACCGGGUCUAAUACCGGAUACGAGAUCGGAAGGCAUCUUCUGAUUUGGAAAGUUUCUCGGCUAGGGAUGGGCCCGCGGCCUAUCAGCUUGUUGGUGGGGUAACGGCCUACCAAGGCGACGACGGGUAGCCGGCCUGAGAGGGCGACCGGCCACACUGGGACUGAGACACGGCCCAGACUCCUACGGGAGGCAGCAGUGGGGAAUAUUGCACAAUGGGCGAAAGCCUGAUGCAGCGACGCCGCGUGAGGGAUGACGGCCUUCGGGUUGUAAACCUCUUUCAGCAGGGAAGAAGCGAAAGUGACGGUACCUGUAGAAGAAGCGCCGGCUAACUACGUGCCA